rnacentral:rRNA from 1 species
AUUGAACGCUGGCGGAAUGCUUUACACAUGCAAGUCGAACGGCAGCACGGACUUCGGUCUGGUGGCGAGUGGCGAACGGGUGAGUAAUGUACCGGAACGUGCCCAGUCGUGGGGGAUAACGUGGUGAAAAUUACGCUAAUACCGCAUACGAUCUAUGGAUGAAAGCGGGGGAUCGCAAGACCUCGCGCGAUUGGAGCGGCCGAUAUCAGAUUAGGUAGUUGGUGGGGUAAAGGCCCACCAAGCCAACGAUCUGUAGCUGGUCUGAGAGGACGACCAGCCACACUGGAACUGAGACACGGUCCAGACUCCUACGGGAGGCAGCAGUGGGGAAUUUUGGACAAUGGGCGAAAGCCUGAUCCAGCCAUCCCGCGUGCAGGAUGAAGGCCCUCGGGUUGUAAACUGCUUUUGUACAGAACGAAAAGGUUUCUACUAAUACUAGGAGCUCAUGACGGUACUGUAAGAAUAAGCACCGGCUAACUACGUGCCAGCCGCCGCGGUAA